rnacentral:rRNA from 1 species
UGGGGAAUUUUGGACAAUGGGGGAAACCCUGAUCCAGCCAUCCCGCGUGUGCGAUGAAGGCCUUCUGGUUUUAAAGCACUUUUGGCAGGAAAGAAACGUCAUGGGUUAAUACCCCGUGAAACUGACGGUACCUGCAGAAUAAGCACCGGCUAACUACGUGCCAGCAGCCGCGGUAAUACGUAGGGUGCAAGCGUUAAUCGGAAUUACUGGGCGUAAAGCGUGCGCAGGCGGUUCGGAAAGAAAGAUGUGAAAUCCCAGAGCUCAACUUUGGAACUGCAUUUUUAACUGCCGGGCUAGAGUGUGUCAGAGGGAGGUGGAAUUCCGCGUGUAGCAGUGAAAUGCGUAGAUAUGCGGAGGAACACCGAUGGCGAAGGCAGCCUCCUGGGAUAACACUGACGCUCAUGCACGAAAGCGUGGGGAGCAAACAGG